rnacentral:tRNA from 1 species
GUCACUUUGCCGGAGUGGUUAACGGGAUCGCCUGCUAUCAAACAAGUAGCGCAGCGGUUGGGCUUUGCCCGCCUGUGUUCGAAUCGCAGAGGUGACG